rnacentral:tRNA from 1 species
GGUUCCAUGGUGUAGGUGGCUAUCACUCGGGACUCUGAAUCCCGCGACCCCGGUUCGAGUCCGGGUGGAACCG